UACGAGGGGGGCGAGCGUUGUUCGGAAUUAUUGGGCGUAAAGGGUGCGUAGGCGGUUUGGUAAGUCUUGUGUGAAAUCUACAGGCUCAACUUGUAGUCUGCACGAGAAACUGCCGGGCUUGAGUAUGGGAGAGGUGAGUGGAAUUCCUGGUGUAGCGGUGAAAUGCGUGGAUAUCGUGAGGAACACUAGUGGCGAAGGCGGAUGUCUGGACAGUAUCUGACGCUGAGGCACGAAGGCCAGGGGAGCGAACGGG
rnacentral:rRNA from 1 species